rnacentral:RNase_P_RNA from 1 species
CCGGCGGUCUGCUCUGCCGCUUCCGCCAUUGGCGGGGGAGGAAAGUCGGGACAACACAGGGCGCCGUACUUCCUAACGGGAAGGAGAUUUCCGCUUAUGCGGGGAUUUACAGCAAGUGCCACAGAAAAUAACCGUCCCGAUCUGAUCGGGAUAAGGGUGAAAAUGUGGGGUAAGAGCCCACGGUAUGCUGUGGUGACAUGGCAUACGGGUAAACCUUACGGGUUGCAAGGCCAAAUAUGUUCCGAUCAGCGCCUUCGCUGCCUUCGGCAGCUUCGGUGCUCAUCACGCUGCCCGCGUGAAUCCGGAGGCAACGAUGGAAUCGGAACGGGUAGGCUGCCAGAGCCGGGCGGUGACGUCCGGCCCAGAUAAAUGGCAGAGAUCGUGCAACCGUUGUAUGCGCGUUGUAGGCGCGUUGCAUGCAACGCGCCUACAACGCGCAUACAACGGUUGCACGACACAGAAUCCUGCUUACAGGACGGCCGGCCAG